rnacentral:misc_RNA from 1 species
UUUUCUGUGACCGCACGAUUGUGACGUGUUUACCGUGGAAUAGAUUAAAUGAUAAUGAUUUGGUUUUGGCCCAAAAAAUUCAAUUGCCGGAACGUCUGUCGUGAGUCGUGAAAGGUUAUUGUGUUCUAAGGUCAAGGUUUUUCUUCUUAUGACCUCAUGAUUGACUAAUUUUCGUACGUGGUAAAAGUAGUAUGGAAAGUAUUAACGACGAUAAAAUACAGAAGACACUCGUGACACCGGGCAUUGGUGGUCAGCCUACUUUCUCCAACGGAACAAAAGUAUCGUUUCAUUUUGUAACGCGAAUUGUUGGCAGUAACAUUGUGGUAGACGAUAGUUACAAAUGGCCCAAGCACAUGGAAAUCGUUUUGGGAAAAAAAUUCAAAUUAGAAGUCUGGGAAACUAUUUUAAAGUCAAUGCGUGAAGGAGAAAUUUCAAAAUUUAUUGUUCAUAAAAGUUUGGUAGCGUCUUAUCCGUUCAUUUCCAAGACGUUGCGGGAUGCUGGUCGCACGUCAAUUCCCAGCACGAGUCAUUGUUGCACAGCACAACUUCAAAAAAACGGCACCGGUUAUGAUGACCUCAACGAUUUACUAGCAGAUCCAGCGGAUUUGGAAUUCACUAUAGAUUUAUUGAAGAUCGAGGUUCCUGGUUCAUUCGAAAAGGAAACUUGGCUACUGGAUGAAAAUGAAAAACGAAACACAAUACCCGAACUCAAAGAAGCUGGUAACGAAUUAUACCACAAAGGUAAAUACAAAGAAGCUGAAGAAAAAUACAUGUUGGCUCUCGGAUUCUUGGAACAAAUCAUGAUGAAACUCAAACCGCGUGAAAAAGAAUGGGACGAAUUGAACAAAAUAAAGACUCCACUGUUAUUAAAUUUGGCUCAAUGCAAGCUUAUUUCUAAGGAUUAUUACCAAGUCAUAGAACACUGUACAUCAAUUUUAGAAGACGAUCCUGAUAACGUCAAAGCAUUAUUCAGACGUGGAAAAGCAAAUAUAUCCGUGUGGAAAAUGAACGAAGCCAGAGAAGAUUUAAAACAUCUUUCGACUCUGGAUCCUAGUAUGCAAGUUUCGGUCAACCGAUUACUUUGUCAAAUUAACGAAGCAUUGAAGAUAAAAGACGACGAAGAUAGACAAAAAUUAAGAGGAAAGCUUUUCUGAAAAACCGUUUUUCAUUUUAAUUAUUAAAUUAUGAUAUUAAUGUUAUGAAAAUAUAUUAUUUCGGUUUUCUUUUAAAACGACGCGUGAUUCAUGAAUUUAUUAUUCAUGUUUUAGAUAUAUUUGAUGCGAACAUUUUCUGAAACACUUAAAUAUGUCAAUUCCAAUUGUUAAUGAUAUAUAUUUCUAUACAAUUUAUAUUUAUGAUUUUAACAUGAAUGAAAAGUGAUAAUCAAAUUAUAAUAAUGAUGUAUUUGUAAGUUAACUAUACCUAUCUAUACUUAUCAUUAAUUUAAUUUUAGAACAGUA